UUUAUUGGGUUCCGGUGUGGGAGCAAGAGCCCGGAGAUGGAUUCUGAGACAUGAAUCCAGGCCCUACGGGGCGCAGCAGGCGCGAAAACUUUGCAAUGCGGGAAACCGUGAUAAGGGAACUCCGAGUGCCCGUAAAUUCGGGCUGUCCAUCUGUUUAAAAAGCAGGUGAAGAAAGGGCCGGGCAAGACCGGUGCCAGCCGCCGCGGUAAUACCGGCGGCUCGAGUGGUGGCCACUAUUACUGGGCUUAAAGCGUUCCGUAGCUGGGUUGUUAAGUCUCUUGGGAAAUCUNCCGGCUUAACCGAUAGGCGUCCAAGGGAUACUGGCAAUCUAGGGACCGGGAGAGGUGAGGGGUACUCCAGGGGUAGGAGUGAAAUCCUGUAAUCCUUGGGGGACCACCUGUGGCGAAGGCGUCUCACCAGAACGGCUCCGACAGUGAGGAACGAAAGCUGGGGGAGCAAACCGGAUUAGAUACCCGGGUAGUCCCAGCUGU
rnacentral:rRNA from 1 species